rnacentral:lncRNA from 1 species
UUAAUAUCUGCAGUGCUGCUCGUGGCCAUGUCAAAACUAUACAUUUAAUGUGUUUGAUGGUUCAGGUUGAUGUGACCUUCUCCAAGACAUGGCAGAGAAUAGCAUGUCGAGAUAAAUGAUAGGUAACUAAUCCAGGUAACUACAUGACCAGAUACUAAUGAACGUAAAUGAUAGGGGAUUAACCAUUAAUAGGCGUACUAAUGACCAGUAACUAAAUGACCGAAAUGAUAACUUAAUGACCAGAUAAAUGAUAGGGGUAACUUAAUGACCAGAUAAAUGAUAGAGGUAACUAAUGACCAGAUAACUAAUGACCAGAUAAAUGAUAGAGGUAACUUAAUGAUAAAUGAUAGAGGUAACUUAAUGAUAAAUGAUAGAGGUAACUAAUGACAGAUAACUAAUGACCAGAUAAAUAGA